AUGGGCCUAACGUUUCUACACUCACUGGAGAUGUGGACGAUUAUGUUGAUAGUCGGCUAAUUGAUAUAAUUAGUUCCGAAUUAAGAGACAAAGUACAUGAAAAGAAGGAUCCAUGUAAGGCCAAAUGUAAGAGCAAGGACAUUGACUCAGUGUGGUGGAGAAAGAGGGACCAGUUGGGACGAUUGACUAUUGAGAAUCGAACUCCCUCAAGAGAUAUCACAUCUGAAUGUCGAAUGAGGUCGACACGACCUCAAUAUGAAGAUUCAUCAGAAGACAUUGCUGAUACAACAGAUGGUGAGAAUGUACUAUUAUUAAUUUUUAUAACUAACAACAUGCACAACUGUUGUACAUUUUAGCACUGCAUGUAUUCUUGCUGAUUGUAUUGUGUACCUAUUGUAUGUAUUCCUACACAGGCACUUCACCUCGACGGUUUGAGGAGACACUUCAAUUGAUUGACAAAAAUAUUCAAGAACUCAAGGAGAGCUUAGACAGCCCAGAUAUUUAUCUAUCAGAAACUUACAACAUACGGACCUGGGGUUUGCGGCAUGAACUAUGUGACGAAAAGUGGCAAAAAUCAAGACCACAUCUUUUACAAGCCAUGUUAACAAGCGGAAGGACACCUCAACAAGCUUGCCAACAGUGUCAACGCUGUUAUUCGAUGCAGAGACUGCCUCCCAAAGAACUGUAUUGCAGUAACUGUGAUGUGUCACCAGUGCAUCACCAGUAUGUUCUACACAACAGGGAGUCAUUUGUGGGAGGCUUUUACAAAGCCAUGUCACCGAAAUGCAUCGUUACAAAAGACAGCACUGGUGAACAUGUAGUUAGUGAGCAAGAUUGUCUCCUACCAAUCGCUUUGCCCAACAAGAUUUGCUGUUGUGGUGCUGAGGAUGUUUCGGUGAAUGCUGGUCGUGCCAUUAUCUUCAUAAAUAUUAAUGGUCGCUAUGAUCUCUCCCUUCCUUUGGUAACCUGUAAGUCUUGCCUAAAAUCGUGGACACCUGAGGUCAAAGACCUUAUAUUAAAUGGGUACUGGCCUGGAACCAUUGAGUUUCAAACAGUUUACACUGUCGACCUGUUCAGUACCUUUGAAGACUUUAAAGUCACGGCACCUGGCCUAUCCAGACAGGCCUUUGUGAGAAUGCUGCAAAGCCGCUCAAUGCGUUCUGGCAGAGUUGGUACAAUAUCAGUGGACUGUUUUCAGCGCAGUUUUCUGGAAUGGACGUACUGUAGACAUGAGAUGGAAACACUUCUUGGAGAUGACCAUUUCUCCUGUCCAGCUUGCAGUCAGGAUAUGGUGGCAGUGUCUCUUGAUGGGAACAGGAAAAUGUACAGGUUUAAUCGCAACGGGUAAGUUAACAAAGUAAUUUAUCUUUUAAAAGACAAAACCUAAACCUGUCAGAGUCCAUUCAGUGUUUUUUGUAUUUUUGUAGGAUAAAUGAAAUCCAUAUUUUGAUUGUACAAAUCGACUAUUUCUGGCUUUUAUUAUCAUAAUGGAGGUCUAGGUGCUAUGUAUUUACCUCUAAGUGUCUACACUGACGAUUGUCAGACAAACGCACACUGCCUAUAUUUAGA
rnacentral:lncRNA from 1 species